CAUCUAAAUCUAAUUUAGUUUUGAUAAAAGAAAGAUUUUAAAAUUGAGUGUUAAAAUAUUCUUUAUCAAGAGAAUCUGUUCUUAUCCAAAUCAACCUCUCUAUGCCAACUUAUUUUUCUCUCCCUAUAUGUGCAACAUUUUGAGGAGAUUUUUUGUGAGAGAUUUAUCAUGAAAAACUAUGGGAAGAAGCAUCCCAUAUAUUUUUGAUAUAUUUUGGGAUGUGGAAUUGUGAAGGGAGGUGACA
rnacentral:lncRNA from 1 species